rnacentral:sRNA from 1 species
AGGGGCCCCCACCAGAACCCCCGGCGCCUUAGGCGUCAAGGAACACCCUAUAUUCCUUGCCCGGUGGAGCGGUCGGCCCCUUCUUCCGCUCCCCGGGCAGGGAUGAUAUUUUAAUUGACACGACUUUCGGGCAACGGAUAUCUCGGCUCUCGCAUCGAUGAAGAACGUAGCAAAAUGCGAUACCUGGUGUGAAUUGCAGAAUCCCGCGAACCAUCGAGUUUUUGAACGCAAGUUGCGCCCGAGGCCUUCUGGCCGAGGGCACGUCUGCCUGGGCGUCACGCCAAAAGACACUCCCAACCCACCCGAGGGGGAGGGACGUGGUGUUUGGUCCCCCGUGCCGCAGGGCGCGGUGGGCCGAAGUUGGGGCUGCCGGCGAAUCGUGUCGGGCACAGCACGUGGUGGGCGACACUCAGUUGUUCUCGGUGCAGCGCCCCGGCACGCGGCCGGCGCAUCGGCCCUAAGGACCCAUGGAGCGACGCAGCGCAUAGCCGCUCUCCUCCCGCGACGCCUGGUCAGUCGGGACUACGACCUGAGUUAGGG